rnacentral:tRNA from 1 species
UGCGCCUGGCCGAGCAGGCGCUGCCGGCUGCUUAAGCCAGCCGGUCCGGGGCGGUGCCGACGCGCUGGCCCGGGUUCAAUGCCUCCAGUCCCAGC